ACGGGGCGCAGCAGGCGCGAAACCUUUACACUGUACGCMAGUGCGAUAAGGGGACUCCGAGUGUGAAGGCAUAGAGCCUUCACUUUUGUACACCGUAAGGUGGUGUACGAAUAAGGGCUGGGCAAGACCGGUGCCAGCCGCCGCGGUAAUACCGGCAGCCCGAGUGAUGGCCGAUAUUAUUGGGCCUAAAGCGUCCGUAGCUGGCCGGACAAGUCCGUUGGGAAAUCUGUUCGCUUAACGAGCAGGCGUCCAGCGGAAACUGUUCGGCUUGGGACCGGAAGACCUGAGGGGUACGUCCGGGGUAGGAGUGAAAUCCUGUAAUCCUGGACGGACCACCGGUGGCGAAAGCGCCUCAGGAGGACGGAUCCGACAGUGAGGGACGAAAGCUAGGGUCUCGAACCGGAUUAGAUACCCNCGUAGUCC
rnacentral:rRNA from 1 species